GUGGGGAAUAUUGCACAAUGGGCGAAAGCCUGAUGCAGCAACGCCGCGUGAGGGACGACGGCCUUCGGGUUGUAAACCUCUUUUAGUAGGGAAGAAGCGAAAGUGACGGUACCUGCAGAAAAAGCACCGGCUAACUACGUGCCAGCAGCCGCGGUAAUACGUAGGGUGCAAGCGUUAUCCGGAAUUAUUGGGCGUAAAGAGCUCGUAGGCGGUCUGUCGCGUCUGCUGUGAAAACUGGAGGCUCAACCUCCAGCCUACAGUGGGUACGGGCAGACUAGAGUGCGGUAGGGGAGAUUGGAAUUCCUGGUGUAGCGGUGGAAUGCGCAGAUAUCAGGAGGAACACCGAUGGCGAAGGCAGAUCUCUGGGCCGUAACUGACGCUGAGGAGCGAAAGCGUGGGGAGCGAACAGGAUUAGAUACCCGGGUAGUCC
rnacentral:rRNA from 1 species